GACGAACGCUGGCGGCGUGCCUAAUACAUGCAAGUAGAACGCUGAAGGAGGAGCUUGCUCUUCUGGAUGAGUUGCGAACGGGUGAGUAACGCGUAGGUAACCUGCCUGGUAGCGGGGGAUAACUAUUGGAAACGAUAGCUAAUACCGCAUAACAGUAGAUGUUGCAUGACAUUUACUUAAAAGGUGCAAUUGCAUCACUACCAGUUGGACCUGCGUUGUAUUAGCUAGUUGGUGGGGUAACGGCUCACCAAGGCGACGAUACAUAGCCGGCCGGCGAGGGGGGUCCGCCACCCUGGGACGGGGACCCGGCCCAGAACCCCUCGGGAAGCAGCAGUAGGGAAUCUUCGGGCAUGGACGGAAAGCUGACCGGGGAACGCCGCGUGAGUGAAGAAGGUUUUCGGGUCGUAAAGCUCGGUUGUAAGGGAAGAAAGAGUGUGAGAGUGGAAAGUUCACACUGUGACGGUAUCUUACCAGAAAGCGACGGCUAACUACGUG
rnacentral:rRNA from 1 species